UCACUGGGCAAAGUAGGCCCUG
rnacentral:miRNA from 1 species